GAACCAGUUGUAGGGCAGCUCUCCGUUUGGCAGAUACUUAUGAAGAUAUAUUACAUUUUGUGAUGUGACAAAAUUCACUUAAUAUCUGCCAAAGGAGAGUUGCCCUGUGAUUGUUUC
rnacentral:pre_miRNA from 1 species